UAAACUUAAUUAAUUAAGUUAACUUAUGUUUAAUUUGUACAUUUACCAGAGCUACAGUAAGGUGCUGGUGAAGGCUGAUUGCCCUGGUUGCUAAUGGAGACCCGGCCUGCCACACUGUGACUGCUUUGGUGUGCAUAUUUGGCUGUCUCUGCUUGGUACCAAAUUGGGGAGGAGGCAGGGAUAAAAAAUAUAGGGAAGCCACAGUCAGUGUCGAGUGCUGACCCUCCUGG
rnacentral:lncRNA from 10 species